rnacentral:rRNA from 1 species
GACGAACGCUGGCGGCGCGCUUAACACAUGCAAGUCGAACGGAAAGGCCUGCUUUCCCUUGUGGAUUGCGGGUACUCGAGUGGCGAACGGGUGAGUAACACGUGAGUGAUCUGCCCCCAACUUGGGUAUAAGCCUGGGAAACUGGGUCUAAUUCCCGAUAGGACUGCAGGGUGGUGCCCGUGGUGGAAAACGAUUUUCUAGUGGUUGGGGAUGAGCUCGCGGCCUAUCAGCUUGUUGGUGGGGUAAUGGCCUACCAAGGCGGCGACGGGUAGCCGGCCUGGGAGGGUGGACGGCCACAUUGGGACUGAGAUACGGCCCAGACUCCUACGGGAGGCAGCAGUGGGGAAUAAUGCACAAUGGGCGGAAGCCUGAUGCAGCGACGCCGCGGGGGGGAUGACGGCCUUCGGGUUGUAAACUCCUUUCGACCGCGAGGAAGCCACCUGGUUGGAAGGGUGGUGACGGUAGUGGUAGAAGAAGCACCGGCUAACUACGUG